rnacentral:rRNA from 1 species
UACGAACCGUGCGAACGUUAUUCGGAAUCAUUGGGCUUAAAGAGCGCGUAGGCGGCGAUGUAAGUUGGAUGUGAAAUCCCAUCGGCUCAACCGUGGAAUCGCUCCCAGUACUGCGUUGCUCGAGGGAGAUAGGGGCCUGUGGAACUGCCGGUGGAGCGGUGAAAUGUGUUGAUAUCGGCGGGAACGCCAGUGGCGAAAGCGGCAGGCUGGACCUUUUCUGACGCUGAGGCGCGAAAGCUAGGGGAGCAAACGGG